UACAGAGGUCUCAAGCGUUGUUCGGAUUCAUUGGGCGUAAAGGGUGCGUAGGUGGCGCUGUAAGUCGGGUGUGAAAUUUCGGAGCUUAACUCCGAAACUGCAUUCGAUACUGCGGUGCUUGAGGACUGGAGAGGAGACUGGAAUUCAUGGUGUAGCAGUGAAAUGCGUAGAGAUCAUGAGGAAGACCAGUGGCGAAGGCGGGUCUCUGGACAGUUCCCGACACUGAGGCACGAAGGCCAGGGGAGCAAACGGG
rnacentral:rRNA from 1 species